rfam:Sorghum bicolor cultivar BTx623 chromosome 4, whole genome shotgun sequence.
GCAGUCGGAUUCGCAUCAAUGAUCAAUCACAUGUGUUGAGGUGGGUUGGAGUGAAAAUUGAACUAAAUUCCACUCCAAUCCAUUCCAACACAUAUGGAUUGAGGUGAAUCCGACA